GAUGAACGCUGGCGGCGUGCCUAACACAUGCAAGUCGAGCGAUCUUCUUCGGAAGUGAGCGGCGGACGGGUGAGUAACGCGUGGGUAACCUGCCUCAUACACAUGGAUAACAUACCGAAAGGUAUGCUAAUACAAGAUGAUAUAAGAGAUUCGCAUGGAUUUCUUAUCAAAGCUCCGGCGGUAUGAGAUGGACCCGCGUCUGAUUAGCUAGUUGGUAAGGUAACGGCUUACCAAGGCGACGAUCAGUAGCCGACCUGAGAGGGUGAUCGGCCACAUUGGAACUGAGACACGGUCCAAACUCCUACGGGAGGCAGCAGUGGGGAAUAUUGCACAAUGGGCGAAAGCCUGAUGCAGCAACGCCGCGUGAGCGAUGGAGGCCUUCGGGUCGUAAAGCUCUGUCCUCAAGGAAGAUAAUGACGGUACUUGAGGAGGAAGCCCCGGCUAACUACGUGCCAGCCGCCGCGGUAAUAC
rnacentral:rRNA from 1 species